rnacentral:rRNA from 1 species
GAGUAACACGUAAGCAACCUGCCUAUCAGAGGGGAACAACAGUUAGAAAUGACUGCUAAUACCGCAUAUGCCUUAGAAUCACAUGGUUCAAAAGGGAAAGGAGCAAUCCGCUGAUAGAUGGGCUUGCGUCUGAUUAGCUAGUUGGUGGGGUAACGGCCUACCAAGGCGACGAUCAGUAGCCGAACUGAGAGGUUGAACGGCCACAUUGGGACUGAGAUACGGCCCAGACUCCUACGGGAGGCAGCAGUCGGGAAUAUUGCGCAAUGGAGGAAACUCUGACGCAGUGACGCCGCGUGCAGGAAGAAGGUUUUCGGAUUGUAAACCGCUUUAGACAGGGAAGAACAAAGACAGUACCUGUAGAAUAAGCUCCGGCUAACUACGUGCCAGCAGCCGCGGUAAUACGUAGGGAGCGAGCGUUAUCCGGAUUUAUUGGGUGUAAAGGGUGCGUAGACGGGAAGUCAAGUUAGUUGUGAAAUCCCUCGGCUUAACUGAGGAACUGCAACUAAAACUGAUUUUCUUGAGUACUGGAGAGGAAAGUGGAAUUCCUAGUGUAGCGGUGAAAUGCGUAGAUAUUAGGAGGAACACCGGUGGCGAAGGCGACUUU